ACAGGUUAAUAUUCCUGUACUUGGUGUUACUGCGAAGGGGGGACGGAGAAGGCUAUGUUGGCCGGGCGACGGUUGUCCCGGUUUAAGCGUGUAGGCUGGUUUUCCAGGCAAAUCCGGAAAAUCAAGGCUGAGGCGUGAUGACGAGGCACUACGGUGCUGAAGCAACAAAUGCCAUGCUUCCAGGAAAAGCCUCUAAGCAUCAGGUAACAUCAAAUCGUACCCCAAACCGACACAGGUGGUCAGGUAGAGAAUACCAAGGCGCUUGAGAGAACUCGGGUGAAGGAACUAGGCAAAAUGGUGCCGUAACUUCGGGAGAAGGCACGCUGAUAUGUAGGUGAAGCGACUUGCUCGUGGAGCUGAAAUCAGUCGAAGAUACCAGCUGGCUGCAACUGUUUAUUAAAAACACAGCACUGUGCAAACACGAAAGUGGACGUAUACGGUGUGACGCCUGCCCGGUGCCGGAAGGUUAAUUGAUGGGGUCAGCGCAAGCGAAGCUCUUGAUCGAAGCCCCGGUAAACGGCGGCCGUAACUAUAACGGUCCUAAGGUAGCGAAAUUCCUUGUCGGGUAAGUUCCGACCUGCACGAAUGGCGUAAUGAUGGCCAGGCUGUCUCCACCCGAGACUCAGUGAAAUUGAACUCGCUGUGAAGAUGCAGUGUACCCGCGGCAAGACGGAAAGACCCCGUGAACCUUUACUAUAGCUUGACACUGAACAUUGAGCCUUGAUGUGUAGGAUAGGUGGGAGGCUUAGAAGUGUGGACGCCAGUCUGCAUGGAGCCGACCUUGAAAUACCACCCUUUAAUGUUUGAUGUUCUAACGUUGACCCGUAAUCCGGGUUGCGGACAGUGUCUGGUGGGUAGUUUGACUGGGGCGGUCUCCUCCUAAAGAGUAACGGAGGAGCACGAAGGUUGGCUAAUCCUGGUCGGACAUCAGGAGGUUAGUGCAAUGGCAUAAGCCAGCUUGACUGCGAGCGUGACGGCGCGAGCAGGUGCGAAAGCAGGUCAUAGUGAUCCGGUGGUUCUGAAUGGAAGGGCCAUCGCUCAACGGAUAAAAGGUACUCCGGGGAUAACAGGCUGAUACCGCCCAAGAGUUCAUAUCGACGGCGGUGUUUGGCACCUCGAUGUCGGCUCAUCACAUCCUGGGGCUGAAGUAGGUCCCAAGGGUAUGGCUGUUCGCCAUUUAAAGUGGUACGCGAGCUGGGUUUAGAACGUCGUGAGACAGUUCGGUCCCUAUCUGCCGUGGGCGCUGGAGAACUGAGGGGGGCUGCUCCUAGUACGAGAGGACCGGAGUGGACGCAUCACUGGUGUUCGGGUUGUCAU
rnacentral:rRNA from 1 species